GUUAUGUGUCUGAGUGCACUGUGUUUGAACAGAUUCUAGAGUGGAGUCAGACGCAACUGUGGGUCCCGGUUCUACUCCUUAGCAGCUGUCUGAAGUCCGCCUCACCCUUUCGAUUUCUAACGUGGGCUUAGUGUCCCAGCUCCACAGAUCCUGCUUGGGGUCAGGUUCAUCCGGAGGCAGCAAGUUCGCAGCCGGUGAAGACACCCAGCUCCUCCGCGCUCUUGGCCAGUCAGGGGUGGCUCUGAAGGACAAGGCGGUACUGACAUUCUGACGGUGGAAAGACAACGGCACGUGAGUCUUUGCGAGAGCUCUGUGGGCCUCGGAGGAGGACCUGGACGCAGGGCUGGAGCAUCCGGGGCGGCCAGCCGCUGGAAACAGCUCUGGAGGCCGUUGCCUAGGAGGCUCACAUUCUGGGGUUCUGGGAAGGACAGGCAUUCGAGGAGACGCUGCUGCCUCUGUGCAGAGGGAAGCAGGGACCCUCGGUGCUAUGACUUAGGGUAGUGAAUCAUGAGGAAAUUGGGGAAGGCCUUGAAGCCAUAUCAAGAGGCUCGGUAGGCUGGCAGAGCAGGCAGAGAUGUCCCAUCCCGGGGCGGGGGACGCCGAGGGCAGCUCAGAGGGAGCUGCUCACUGUGUGCCCCAGGUUAAGUAGAAACAGAGGCACCCAGAGCCGCCACGGACUCCAGCUCCACCUGCCCUGCGUGCCCUCCUCACGAUGCACCCCAGCGUGCCACCUGCCUGUGCCCUCGCCCCACAGACCUCGCCGGGCAGCUUGGGUUCAGUGACCUGGCCACUGGGACCCAGCAUCAACGUGGGCUGCGGACGGUGAGGAGAGAGCUGGUGAGCGCGGACAGCAGCGAACCCACUGCACACCAGCACCCUGGCCGCCCCAGCCAGACCUCCGGGAGCCACACCCCUGCUCCCUGUCAUCUUCCCAGCCGAGUUGUAUUCUCCGUCACAUCCAUGAUAAACACAG
rnacentral:lncRNA from 1 species